rnacentral:rRNA from 1 species
UACAGAGGCCUCAAGCGUUGUUCGGAUUCAUUGGGCGUAAAGGGUGUGUAGGUGGCGCGCUAAGUCGGGUGUGAAAUUUCGGAGCUUAACUCCGAAACUGCAUUCGAUACUGGCGUGCUUGAGGACUGGAGAGGAGACUGGAAUUCAUGGUGUAGCAGUGAAAUGCGUAGAGAUCAUGAGGAAGACCAGUGGCGAAGGCGGGGUCUCUGGACAGUUCCUGACACUGAGACACGAAGGCCAGGGGAGCAAACGGG